UGGUGCCUUUCCUAAUUAACUGCUUCAUUGUCUGCUCAUCUGGCUCGAUUCCUUCUAGAUACUUUUCCAUUACUUCAUCAUCUAAUUCAACGAUAGUCUCUAUCAACUGGUUUCUGUACUCUUGAGCAAUUUCUUGGAGAUCAGCAGGUAUGUCCUCAUAGACAAAUUUUGCACCAAGUUCCUCGCCUGACCAGAUAAUAGCUUUCAUUUUCAGCAGAUCUACAACUCCUUGAAAUUUGUCUUCUGCACCGACAGGCAACUGAAUGACUAAAGGUCUUGCGCCUAAGUUUGUAACUAUCAUAUCCCUUGUUCGGAAAAAGUUAGCUCCAAGACGAUCCAUCUUGUUGACAAAACAUAUUCUGGGGACCCCAUAUUUGUCAGCUUGUCUCCAAACAGUCUCAGAU
rnacentral:lncRNA from 1 species